rnacentral:rRNA from 1 species
GAUAGACGCUGGCGGCGUGCCUAACACAUGCAAGUCGAACGCCCUUUUGCGCAAGUGAGAGGGAGUGGCGGACGGGUGAGUAGCACGUGGGUACCUACCCAAGAUGAGGAAUACCACCGAGAAAUCGGUGACAAGACCGCAUACCUUCGGCCACGAAGAAAGCUUCUCCUCACGAGAGGCGUCUUGGGAGUGGCCUGCGCCUGAUUAGCUGGUUGGUGAGGUAACAGCUCACCAAGGCGACGAUCAGUAGCUGGUCUGAGAGGAUGAUCAGCCACACUGGGAUUGA